rnacentral:rRNA from 1 species
CGCGAAUUCGCCCUUCGGGGCGCAGCAGGCGCGAAAACUUUGCAAUGCGGGAAACCGUGACAAGGGAACUCUGAGUGCCCGUUAAAUCGGGCUGUCCAUCGGUUUAAAUAACCGGUGAAGAAAGGGCCGGGCAAGACCGGUGCCAGCCGCCGCGGUAAUACCGGCGGCUCGAGUGGUGGCCACUAUUACUGGGCUUAAAGCGUUCGUAGCUGGUUUGUUAAGUCUCUGGGGAAAUCUUCCGGCUUAACCGGAAGGCGUCUCAGGGAUACUGGCAGACUAGGGACCGGGAGAGGUGAGAGGUACUCCAGGGGUAGGAGUGAAAUCCUGUAAUCCUUGGGGGACCACCUGUGGCGAAGGCGUCUCACCAGAACGGCUCCGACAGUGAGGGACGAAAGCUGGGGGAGCAACCCGGAUUAGAUACCCGGGUAGUCCCAGCUGUAAACGAUGUGCGUUAGGUGUAUCGGUGACCACGAGUCACCGAGGUGCCGAAGAGAAAUCGUGAAACGUACCGCCUGGGAAGUACGGUCGCAAGGCUGAAACUUAAAGGAAUUGGCGGGGGAGCAC